rnacentral:lncRNA from 10 species
CAGGCGCAUGCCACCACACCCAGCUAAUUUUUGUAUUUUUAAUAGAGACAGGGUUUCUCCAUGUUGGUCAGGCUGGUCUCAAACUCCUGACCUCAUGAUCCACCCACCUCGGCCUCCUAAAGUGCUGGGAUUACAGGUGUGAGCCACCGCGCCUGGCCUCAUCCUCAUCUUUAUUGCCAACACAAUGAUUAUUUCUGCCAUGAUUCCAGCAUACUUCAUACUGUUAGGGCUGCCUGUUUUCAGGUCUGUCCCCGCCUCCCUCCUGGGCUGCUCUGACUCUCUUUUCUUCGUGUGUACCCGGCCGUGAAGGACCACGGUCCUCCGUGUAGGAGAGUUGUAAGACUGAGGUCCUGCCUGCCAGGAGAGUGCCAGGCAAGCACUGGGUCCCCCUACUGCCUGCACUUACACGAUCACCAGCCACUUGCUCUGCUUCGCCAGGCCCAGGAGGGUGAAGAGGCAGACCAGCAGCUCCAGGAGCAGCAGGAGGACGUAGGCCAGCCACCUGGGAGGGGAGAGGGUAGGGCUGAAACCACAAACCUGCCUCCAGGCACCCCGGCGGAACAGCAACCCUCCACCAGCAUUCACCCUGCCCCCCAGCUCAGCCUCACAUUCACCACCCUCCAAGCUCAGCCUCCUGCUGUUUACUGUGUCUGGGCCACAGCCCAGGUCCUCUGUGAAAUAGUGUUAUCAUGAGACAGGACACUGGAGCGGUUUAGAAUACAGGUCCUGAGCACCUGGGACUAUCCCCUGGCCGGGCCACACACAUGUGCCCUGUGACCAGGGACACGUGAUGUGUUCUCUCCGAGCUCCCCAUCCCCAACCCCACCCUGCAGAGUGGAGAUACUCGUUCUCAAGACUGCACCAAAGAUCCCAUCGCAUCCCUGGAGGGCAUGACGUCUGGAGGCAGAGGCUGCCUGGUCUCAACCCCAGCCCCUCCGCUUAACUGGCCGGGUAACUCUUGUCUCGGUAACCUUAGCCUCUCGUUCCUCAGUUUCCCUACAUGUAACGUGGGGAGCACAACAACACUGGCUUGAGAAUAUUGCCUCGAGUGGGCUGCAUGACUAGAAGUGCUUAGGAGAGUGCCAAGCACGUGGACACACUUAGAGGUUAGCCUGAGCGUGAACGAGGGAACUGAGAUGUUAGUUAAUAGUUAAUACUUGGCCGGGCGAGGUGGCUCACGCCUGUAAUCCGCGCAUUUUGGGAGGCUGAGGCAGGCGGAUCACUUGAGGUCAGGAGUUUGAGACCAGCCUGGCCAACAUGGUGAAACCCCGUCUUUACUAAAAAUACAACAAUUAGCCGGGCGUGGUGGUGCACGCCUGUAAUCCCAGCUACUUGGGAGGCUGAGGCAGGAGAAUCAUUUGAACCCAUGAGGUGGAGGUUGCAGUGAGCCAAGAUUGCACCACUGCACUCCAGCCUGGGCGACAAGAGUGAGACUUAGUCUCAAAAAUGAAAAAAAAAAAAAGUUAAUCCUUAAAUAUCAGUGAAGGGCCCACCACCAUGAUUCAGGAGGUGCAAGCAUGCAAGCCACAGUGAGAGACAGGACUAGCUGGAUGUCCGAGGCCGACUAAUAAUCCCUAAGCCUAGCUGGGAAGGUGACCGCAUCCACCUUUAAACACGGGGCAUGCAAUUUAGCUCACACCCAACCAAUCAGGUAGUAAAGAGAGCUCACUAAAGUGCUAGUUAGGCAAAAAUAGGAAGUAAAGAAAUAGCCAAUCAUCUAUCACCUGAGAGCACAGGGGAAGGGACAAUGAUCUGGAUAGAAACCCAGGCAUUCCAGCCAGCAACGGCUACCCACUUUGGGUCCCCUCCCGUUGUAUGGGAACUCUGUUUUCACUCUAUUAAAACUUGAAACUGCACACUCUUCUGGUCCGUGUCUGUUACGGCUUGAGCUGAGCUUUCGCUCGCCGUCCACCACUGCUGUUUGCCGCCGUCGCAGACCCGCCGCUGACUUCCACCCUCCGGAUCCGGCAGGGUGUCCACUGUGCUCGUGAUCCAGGGAGACACCCAUUGCCGCUCCCAAUCGGGCUAGAGGCUCGCCAUUGUUCCUGCACAGCUAACUGCCUGGGUUCAUCCUGAUCGAGCUGAACACUGGUCGCUGGGUUCCACGGUUCUCUUCCGUGACCCACGGCUUCUAAUAGAGCUAAAACACUCACCGCAGGGCCCAGGAUUCCAUUCCUUGGAAUCCGUGAGGCCAAGAACCCCAGGUCAGAGAACACGAGGCUUGCUGCCCUCUUGGAAGUGGCCACCACGAUCUUGGGAGCUCCGGGAGCAAGGACCCGCCGUAACAACAGCACAGUGCCCGGCACGUAGACAUCAAACUUCCUGGUCCUCAUGCCUUUAGCCUCAGACUGAAUGACACCACCAGCUUUCCUGCUUCUUCAGCUUAUGGACAGCACGUCGUGGGACUCCUCAGCCUCCAGAAUUGUAAAACUUUCAUGGCAAGGAACUGAGGGGUGGCUUCUGGCCAAGAGUCAGCAAAGAACUGAACUGCCAGCAACACCAUGAAAUCAACAGAACCUUGAGAUGGCCACAAAGCUGCUGGCCCCUUGAUUGCAGCCCGGGAGAGACCCUGAAGCUGAAGACCCAGCCGGGCUGUGCUCAGAUCCCUGAUUCACGGAAAUCGCAAGACAAUAAACGUGUGUUGUCUGAAGCUGCUCCCUUUGAGCCUGUUUUUCUCCAAACCCUGUGUGGAAUGCGGCCACUCGUUGGUUGGAACCAGCCUCUGACGGGCCCUGGCAACUUAGAGAUGAACCCGAGUGAACUUUCUGCACUGCUGCGCUCAAGUCUCCAUCCCGGGAGGAGCUGUAGUCUCGUUACCGUAACAUGCGACCCGUGUGCUGGUAUGACGACUCGCUGCAUCUGCGUGACUGGGACCCUCCUCCACAUACAACGACGCGCCCUCUCCCUGCUCCCUCACCCCAUAGAGCCCUCCUGUCCCUUUUCCUCAGGGAGACACUGCUUUGAAGAAUACACCCAGUGCCUUCCUUAGCUGUGUCAAGUCAUAAAACUCUUCUUGAUCAAAACCUCUGUAUUAGUUUGUUCUCAUGCUGCUAAUAAAGACAUACCCGAG